AUAUGAAGUAGCAGCAUCUGUGAUCAUGAGAGGCGGCUCCGGGGAGGGUGUAUCCUGCAUCAUCAGAAAUUCCCUCCUCGGCCUGGAAAAGACAGCCAGCAUUUCCAUCGCAGACCCCUUCUUCAGGAGCGCCCAGCCCUGGAUCGCAGCCCUGGCAGGGACCCUGCCUAUCUUGCUGCUACUUCUCGCCGGAGCCAGUUACUUCUUGUGGAGACAACAGAAGGAAAUAACUGCUCUGUCCAGUGAGAUAGAAAGUGAGCAAGAGAUGAAAGAAAUGGGAUAUGCUGCAACAGAGCAGGAAAUAAGCCUAAGAGAGAGCCUCCAGGAGGAACUCAGUAAGUUACCAUUCCCCCAGAGAUCCAGACAUGUCUUCCUAUCCUCGCUUUGAGCACCUUGAUGACUCUUCCCUGUUCAUUCCAUUGCAGAGAGGAAAAAAAUCCAGUACUUGACUCAUGAGUGGCUUUGACAUUUUCUCUGAAUUCAAAUCUAUUACUCUCUCUCUGCUUCAUUGUUUUCCAGCCCAUAAGUCAUAGCCCAGGGUUGAAAAGUGGUCUUGGAUCCCUUUACCCAGAAAAAGAAAACAAGUGUGGCUCUUUGGAGAAACCACCCAGUGCUUUUUCUCUCUAGAAAAAAAAAAAAAAAAAA
rnacentral:sRNA from 1 species